ACGCGGAGAGAAGCUUGCUUCUCACCGGCGACGAGUGGCGAACGGGUGAGUAAUACAUCGGAACGUGUCCGCUCGUGGGGGACAACCAGCCGAAAGGUUGGCUAAUACCGCAUGAGUUCUACGGAAGAAAGAGGGGGACCCGCAAGGGCCUCUCGCGAGCGGAGCGGCCGAUGACUGAUUAGCCGGUUGGUGAGGUAACGGCUCACCAAAGCAACGAUCAGUAGCUGGUCUGAGAGGACGACCAGCCACACUGGGACUGAGACACGGCCCAGACUCCUACGGGAGGCAGCAGUGGGGAAUUUUGGACAAUGGGCGCAAGCCUGAUCCAGCUAUUCCGCGUGUGGGAUGAAGGCCCUCGGGUUGUAAACCACUUUUGUAGAGAACGAAAAGACACCUUCGAAUAAAGGGUGUUGCUGACGGUACUCUAAGAAUAAGCACCGGCUAACUACGUGCCAGCAGCCGCGGUAAUACGUAGGGUGCGAGCGUUAAUCGGAAUUACUGGGCGUAAAGGGUGCGCAGGCGGUUGAGUAAGACAGAUGUGAAAUCCCCGAGCUUAACUCGGGAAUGGCAUAUGUGACUGCUCGACUAGAGUGUGUCAGAGGGAGGUGGAAUUCCACGUGUAGCAGUGAAAUGCGUAGAUAUGUGGAAGAACACCGAUGGCGAAG
rnacentral:rRNA from 1 species